rnacentral:rRNA from 1 species
AGAGGUCCCAAGCGUUGUUCGGAUUCACUGGGCGUAAAGGGUGCGUAGGUGGCCAGGUAUGUUCGGUGUGAAAGCUCGGAGCUUAACUCCGAAAUGGCAUUGAAUACUAUCUGGCUAGAGGGUCGGAGGGGAGACUGGAAUUCUCGGUGUAGCAGUGAAAUGCGUAGAUAUCGAGAGGAACACCAGUGGCGAAGGCGAGUCUCUGGACGACUCCUGACACUGAGGCACGAAAGCCAGGGGAGCAAACAGGAUUAGAUACCCUGGUAGUCCUGGCUGUAAACGGUGCACGUUUGCUGUAAAAGGAAUCGACCCCUUUUGUGGCGAAGCUAACGCGAUAAACGUGCCGCCUGGGGAGUACGGUCGCAWGRWWA